AGUCACGAGUUUGAUCCUGGCUCAGGAUGAACGCUGGCGGCAGGCCUAACACAUGCAAGUCGAGCGGUAGAGAGGUGCUUGCAUCUCUUGAGAGCGGCGGACGGGUGAGUAAUGCCUAGGAAUCUGCCUAGUGGUGGGGGAUAACGUAGCGAAAGUUACGCUAAUACCGCAUACGCACUAAGGUGGAAAGCGGGGGAUCUUCGGACCUCGCGCCAUUAGAUGAGCCUAGGUCGGAUUAGCUAGUUGGUGAGGUAAUGGCUCACCAAGGCGACGAUCCGUAACUGGUCUGAGAGGAUGAUCAGCCACACUGGGACUGAGACACGGCCCAGACUCCUACGGGAGGCAGCAGUGGGGGAAUAUUGGACAAUGGGCGAAAGCCUGAUCCAGCAAUGCCGCGUGAGUGAUGAAGGCCUUCGGGUUGUAAAGCUCUUUUACUCGGGACGAUAAUGACGGUACCGAGAGAAUAAGCCCCGGCUAACUCCGUG
rnacentral:rRNA from 1 species